rnacentral:piRNA from 1 species
UCCAGAAGCGUAACUUAGGCCCG